UGAUUUGGUCGUAGAGCCACGACCAAGGAAAAAUAAAGAAAGCUCACUGAGA
rnacentral:sRNA from 12 species